AAAAAAAGGUUUUAUCAUCAAAUUGCAUUUGGAGCCAAGCGACCCUGUCUUUCAGAUGUUGAGCAAGCAGACAGGAUGGGGCGGAGUCAAAACUGCAUGGCUUCACGUUGCUGCAGGAGAAAAGGAAGAGAAGACGUUUAGUGAUAGCACCCCCAAACCCCCCCAUCUUGGCAGGUUAUUGUGAGUACGUACCUUGGCAGAGCUCAGGAGGAGAACACCAGACACACACACACACAUGACAACGUGGAAUAAACCACCAAGUAGUGUGGCAGAGAGUGGAACUUUACUACUUUAGACUUUCAGAUCUCAACUUUUAUUUUGGCCCAAGCAGGUGAACAGCAUGGAUGAGCUUCUUGGGGUAGAUGAAGCUGCCACCUAAUGAUGUAAUUUCAACCAAUCAAGAUCCCGCCUCCAGAUGACAUCACUUCUGGCACCAGUUCCGCAAGCUUCCUCCUCUUCCUGUCUCCUACCUGCCAUCUUACUUACAUAUAUCAUUUCUGUUUUGAACUCCCUGUCUGUAAAAACAUAAUUUUGUUUUAGUUUGCAUCUUUUGAAGGAUACAGAGUGCAAAAUCAUCCAACCUUUAAGCUUGAUCCUAACUCUUAUUGCAAUGUAUUUAUUUAUUUAAAGAGCUUCUGUAAAAAAGGCAA